UCGGUUGCGAGAUGGCCUGACUAAGUGUUUAUAUACUAGAGGCAAUCCUCACCUUACAAGCCGGUUUUGUAAGGAUGAGUUAGGCCCAAUACUCAUUUCUAAGAUCAUGAGUUAACAAAGAGAAGAAGUUGGAACUCAAGUGUUAGGGAUUUCUCCAAUCUUCAUCAUUUUCACUCACCCAUCAAGAACUACCUUCAAAGAGUCAAGAUAAACAGGUUCCAAGGAAGGAAAAGGAAACGGGAAUUUAAGCUUCAGUUUUAUUUUGCUUGCCUAAUCCCUUGUUUAACUUUUGUGGAAUGUAUUAUAUCUCCUAAGUUGUAUCUUGAACUAGUUAAGUCAAGAGCUAUGUAAUUAAUGACUUGAAUUAGUUGUGAAUCUUGUUAUAA